rnacentral:rRNA from 1 species
UGCUGGAGGUAUCAGAAGUGCGAAUGCUGACAUAAGUAACGAUAAAGCGGGUGAAAAGCCCGCUCGCCGGAAGACCAAGGGUUCCUGUCCAACGUUAAUCGGGGCAGGGUGAGUCGACCCCUAAGGCGAGGCCGAAAGGCGUAGUCGAUGGGAAACAGGUUAAUAUUCCUGUACUUGGUGUUACUGCGAAGGGGGGACGGAGAAGGCUAUGUUAGCCGGGCGACGGUUGUCCCGGUUUAAGCAUGUAGGCUGGUU